rnacentral:rRNA from 1 species
AUUGAACGCUAGCGGCAGGCCUAACACAUGCAAGUCGAGCGGCCGGCGGGCGGGUGAGUAAUGUGUGCGAAACUGCCUGCUGGGGGGGGAUAACUACUGGAAUAGGUAACUAAUACCGCGUACCAUGCGGUCUGCACAGAUUGGAUGAGCUAGUGGGUGUGGUAACGGCUCACCUAGGCGACCAUCCCUAGCUGGUCUGAGAGGAUGACCAGCCACACUGGAACUGAGACACGGUCCAGACUCCGACGGGAGGCAGCAGUGGGGAAUAUUGCACAAUGGGCGCAAGCCUGAUACAGCCAUGCCGCGUGUGUGAAGAAGGCCUUCGGGUUGUAAAGCACUUUCAGCGGGGAGGCGUUACCCGCAGAAGAAGCACCGGCUAACUCCGUGCCAGCAGCCGCGGUAAUUC